UACGAAGGGGGCUAGCGUUGCUCGGAAUCACUGGGCGUAAAGCGCACGUAGGCGGGUCUUUAAGUCAGGGGUGAAAUCCUGGAGCUCAACUCCAGAACUGCCUUUGAUACUGAGGAUCUCGAGUCCGGGAGAGGUGAGUGGAACUCCGAGUGUAGAGGUGAAAUUCGUAGAUAUUCGGAAGAACACCAGUGGCGAAGGCGGCUCACUGGCCCGGUACUGACGUUGAGGCACGAAAGCGUGGGGAGCAAACAGG
rnacentral:rRNA from 1 species